UACGAAGGGGGCUAGCGUUGUUCGGAAUCACUGGGCGUAAAGCGCACGUAGGCGGAUUUUAAGUCAGGGUGAAUCCGAGGCUCAACCUCGGAACUGCCUUGAUACUGGGAUCUCGAGUCCGGAAGAGGUUGGUGGAACUGCGAGUGUAGAGGUGAAAUUCGUAGAUAUUCGCAAGAACACCAGUGGCGAAAGGCGGCUCACUGGCCCGGUACUGACGCUGAGGUGCGAAAGCGUGGGGAGCAAACAGG
rnacentral:rRNA from 1 species